AGCAGCCGCGGUAAUUCCAGCUCCAAUAGCGUAUAUUAAAGUUGUUGCAGUUAAAAAGCUCGUAGUUGAAUUUCGGGAUCAAUGUUUCGGUCAUGCCGUUGGUAUGUACUGAUAUUAUUGAUUUCUCACCUUCUAAAGAACCGUAAUGCCAUUAAUUUGGUGUUACGGGGAAUUAGGACUGUUACCUUGAAAAAAUUAGAGUGUUUAAAGCAGGCUCACGCUUGAAUACAUUAGCAUGGAAUAAUGAAAUAGGACAUCCGAUUCUAUUUUGUUGGUUUCUAGGAUCGAUGUAAUGAUUAAUAGGGAUAGUUGGGGGCAUUAGUAUUCAAUUGUCAGAGGUGAAAUUCUUGGAUUUAUUGAAGACUAACUACUGCGAAAGCAUUUGCCAAGGAUGUUUUCAUUAAUCAAGAACGAAAGUUAGGGGAUCGAAGACGAUCAGAUACCGUCGUAGUCUUAACCAUAAACUAUGCCGACUAGGGAUCGGAUGAUGUUAAUUUUUUAAUGACUCA
rnacentral:rRNA from 1 species